rnacentral:lncRNA from 1 species
GGGUUGCCCUAGAAACAGCUUCACAAAGUUCUCCUCGAAGUUCUCAAAUAGAUACCAUUUGAUCUGUUCUCUCCCUCCCUUUCCUGAUCCGACACCGCCAUCCUCUCAACACACGUGCACUGGACAAUAUGGUCUACUAGAGGCAGAGACUGUACUGAAGGUGAAAAGAAGCAAGGUGUAACCUUUUGAUGAUUUCCUUCAAAGCUUGCUUUGGGUGAUCAUUGACAACAAGCACCUAGGAAAUGAUCAGCUGACAAGUUGUUAAGCGAAGCACAUAUUCCAAAAUCGCAUAAUGUCCUCAUCAGGGUCUAGAGAAAGAUGUAAAAUGACUAAUGACCUGAGCUCUGAUAUGACAUGUAUCUUCUAAGGGGAAAAUCCCCCACAACACACUUGAGGGAUGGGAAGGAAGGAAACCAGAUUUGUGACAGCGUUAAUAGAAAACCUAAACACUUCCGAAAUUGGGUGAAUAAAUACGCAGCCUCGACGGUUUCUGCAGAGCCCCAGUCUCAUUUCAACCCCGUCCUACAUAUCACCGCUGAAUCCAGGCCUUCUGGUACCUCCUGUAUCGUCCCUGAACCUUCCAGCCCCACCCUAAACUCUCUCUUCCUUUUCAUUUGGAUUUCUCUAGCUCUCUAACCGUGUCACCCAGUCACCCAGACUCUGAAGCUCAGGUUAUUGGCUGCCUGGCCCUCCAGACCUUCUGGCCUGUUCAUCAGACUGACCUUCCCCUCAACCCCCUUCCUGUCUGAUUUGUCCUCCCUGACGACCUCUAGACGGCACCUACUUCGGUGGCAGGAUAUGGUUACAGACUGUUGGAUUCCACUCACUGCCCACCUCUUGGCCAUUACAUGGUGUCCACCCAAGUUCUACCUGUCUUCCAAAGUUUUCCUAAAUGAUCCCAGCUAGGGAAAGACCCUUUCCCAGUAGCCUGCCUUGGACUGAGUCAUCACAUCCUAGUUUAUAUACUCUGGUGUCACCUUCCCUUCAGAUUAUAUGCCUUGGAAAGUAGGGACUGUGUCUGGUACAAUUUCGUUCCACUUGGAUUAAAUAGCAUAGUGUCUUGCUCUCAGCAGCCAUGUGAUAAUAACUGUGUUUUGGAAAAUAAACUCUUUUUUUUUUUUUUAGAAUAAACUCUU